CAGGUUUAUUGCGAGUUGCCGGUUCGUGGUCGGUCCUUCGGAGGUUUUCUAUUGCAAGCCUUGUUCGUAGCCGAAGAAGAGGAAGCAGUGAUACAGCUCCUCCCAGUUAUUUAUAGUGCAAAUAUGAAGUUGAGUGAAGUGCAUUCCCUUUGAGAUAAAAAAUUUGCGAAAGGAAUCUGAUGAGAGUGAGAUGUAACAGAACCAGUGGCGGUUGGUGAUUAGAAGUCACAUGUUCAGGAGAAAGACUCUCAGUGAAGUUUUGAAGUGAUCGGUUUGAUUGUGCUCAAUGUGUAGAGCGGAAGGAGUUAAGGAUCGUAUAGUGCCAGGCAAGACUUCCAGCUGCUGAGAGAAAAUUACAGGAUUUGUUCCAAACUGUUGGAUUACUCUACACAACGCUUAGAGAAAAAUUUUUGGUUCGUAUAUUUUGAACAGCGGAUUGGAGCAGCAUUCGUUUCAAACUUUUGAUGUCAUACUCCGUUCUAUUGUUAAACUGGAAGUUGAAACUGAAGGUAAUGGUCGACUGUAAAAUCUCCUGGAAGCUGAAGGAAUAAAACAACAAUCACCUGAGAGCAAACGGUAUCCUAACAACGACUACCAUAGUCAUAAACUUCUAUCGGGAAGCAAUAAGAAACUGACGUCCUUUAUUGUUAUCCUGUCUACAGUUCGGGAUACAGGAUACGUUGCCGAGAGGAGCAAAGCAUCCUACCCGGAACAGUAAAUUUUAAGAUUCACACCGGCGAUAAAACUGGGAAAAAAACGAAUAUCGGACCAUAAAAAUUCGUGAAAGGAAAGAAAAGGGACGAAACCCUUGGUUCGCGAUUUCAUUAGUAGAAAGUCUAGCAAAAUGUCGGAAAAUUAACGCUUCGGUCGAAUUUAAAGAAUAGAUCGGGAAACGGUUGAACUUUUCACUUUUCUGCAGUUUAUUUCACUAGCGGCAGGAGCUAAUCUAAGGGCUCAGUAAUGUGCGGUGGAAAUGAAGUAGCCACUUCCAUUAUUUUAUCUUUAAUCCUAUGAAGAAUGACUUCAAUCUCAAGGCUGUGCUGCUCAUUCUAAGACCCGGUUCAUAUGGAAAUGCUUCCCAUGGAGUGAGUUUUCCAAAAAAAUCGUUAUUUUAUAAUGCCCGUAUAAGUGUUCGUAUGUGACUAGUGUUUGUGUUGGUUUCGGUGUCGAUAAUUGGUGACCACCGUGUUUAACAAUGCCCCUAAAUUGGACGGAUCGAUUUCUUGUGCAUCAGCGAGGGCCGCGGCAGUACUUACAGCAACAACACAAGCAACCCAACAAACGGCAGCAUCUUAGCAUCAAAUCCAAUUUUAUUUUUCUCAUAUUUUGGAUUUAUUGCGUUGCACCAGCAUAUGCCCAAUACAGAUCUCCUAAGAUAACAGAGCAUCCUAGCGAUAUAGUUGUGCCGAAAAAUGAACCAGUCACAUUAAACUGUAAGGCCGAAGGCAAACCCGAACCGACAAUCGAAUGGUUUAAGGAUGGUGAGCCAGUCAAGACAAGCCCGAACGAUAAUAAAUCCCAUCGAGUUUUAUUACCAUCCGGAUCACUUUUCUUCCUUCGAACGGUCCACGGGAAAAAGGAACAGGAUGGUGGAGUUUACUGGUGUGUGGCGAGAAACCAAGCCGGAAAAGUGUAUAGUCGAAAUGCAACUCUACAAAUAGCAGUACUUCGAGAUGACUUCAGAGUGGAGCCCAAGGACACAAGAGUGGCAGCCGGUGAAACUGCUCUGCUAGAGUGCGGACCACCUAAAGGCAAUCCUGAACCGACCCUCAUCUGGGAGAAGGAUGGUGUCCCUCUGGAUACAGACGAUCUACGAGGACAGUCACAUGGCACCAUGUCACGAAUUCGAAUCGUUGAUGGUGGUAAUUUACUAAUUAGCGACGUUAAACGAAUCGACGAGGGAAAGUACAAGUGUAUUGCUCAAAACGUGGUGGGCAAUCGUGAAAGUGCUGUUGCCAAAUUAACCGUUCAAGUGAAACCAACAUUUAACAAGGAACCGACAGAUUCAACAGUAGUUGCCGGGCAAACUGUUCAAUUCGAUUGUUCUGUUAACGGAGAUCCACAACCACAGAUACUCUGGCGAAAGGAUGAAGGACAUAUGCCGGUGGGCAGAGCCAACAUUCAGGAAGAGGACCGCAGUCUCAUCAUUAAGAAUGUGCAACCGAUGGACGAAGGCACCUACAUAUGCGAUGCGCACAAUGCAGUUGGGCAAAUAAGCGCCCGAGCUCAUCUUUAUGUUUAUUCAUCGCCAACAUUCACGGUUAAGCCGCAGGACAAAAAGGUUGGUCUCAAUGGAGUAGCGACUUUUGAUUGCGUUGCCAAUGGGAAUCCACCACCGUCUGUCUUCUGGACAAAGGAAGGCUCGCAAAUGCUCAUGUUCCCGGACAAUUCCUAUGGACAUUUACACGUCACGAGUAAAGGAUCCUUGCAAAUUCGUGGCGCACAAAAGGACGAUGCCGGAUAUUUUGUCUGUUCCGCUCUGAGUGUCGCCGGCUCAUCAACAAUUCGAGCAUUUCUGCAGGUUACGUCCGUUGAUGAUACACCGCCGCCCAUUAUUCAAAUUGGACCGUCGAAUCAGACAUUGCCGAAGGGCAGUGUUGCUACAUUGCCCUGCCGAGCCACUGGAAAUCCCGUGCCCCGUGUCAAAUGGUACAAGGAUGGUAUACCGCUUACAAACGGACAUCGAUUCAUGAUUGUUCAGGGCGGCUCAUUGAAAAUCGAUGAUUUGCAGCUAACAGAUACUGGUCUUUACACUUGCACUGCUUCGUCUGAGAGCGGGGAGACAUCUUGGUCAGCAACACUCACUGUCGAGAAGAGCAGCUCGUCGAUAUUGCAUCGUUCACCGGAUCCAAGUACCUUCCCAUCGCCACCGGGAACACCGAAAGUGGUCAACGUCACGCAAAGUACAAUUACAUUACGCUGGACCAAACCGCUAGAGAAGCCGGCAGCCAGUCCAUUGAUCGGAUACACAGUGGAAUAUUUCAGCUCGGAUUUGCAGACCGGCUGGGUUGUGGCCGCUCAUCGUGUUCCUGAUCAAAUAAUAACGAUAUCGGAGCUGAAGCCAGGCACCUCAUAUGUGUUUCUGGUUCGCGCUGAAAAUUCACACGGCCUAUCGGUGCCAUCUGGCCUGUCGAAUGUUGCCAGGACGCUCGGCAACGAAUUAGGUGUAGUACCACAAGCUGAACUGGCUGCCGCCAGGUCCGUUUUGAGUGGGAAGGUUGUCGAACUUAUCGACGCUCAACCAAUAAACUCGACAUCACUUCGUCUAGACUGGCAGAUGUAUGUUAGUAUGACCGAGGAAUACGUUGAAGGUUUAUAUAUUCGCUUUCGUGAUGUGAGCGGUGGCUCCCAGAAGUACAACAUCAUGACCGUAUUGAAUCCAUCUCUGGAAACUCACGUUGUGUCCAAUUUAAAAAAGUUCACGAAAUAUGAAUUUUUCAUUGCGCCCUUCUAUCGUACGUUAGAGGGGCAACCGAGCAAUUCAAAGCUCGUUCAAACGUUGGAGGACGUUCCAUCCGCUCCGCCAGACAAUGUUCAAACGGGAAUGCUGAAUUUAACAGCUGGUUGGGUAAAAUGGCAGCCCCCACCGCCACAGCACCAUAAUGGAAUUCUUCUGGGCUAUAAAAUUCAGGUAAAAGCUGGAAAUUCGUCUAAAGUUCUCGCCCAAAUGACAUUGAACGCCACCACCAUGUCCGUUAUGCUAAACAACCUCACAACCGGAGCCACUUACAAUGUAAGGGUAGUUGCAUAUACAAGGGUUGGAGCAGGGCCAUAUUCACAGCCUAAGUCACUUGUGAUGGACCCAGCACACUUAAUUUCACCACCCCGUGCUCACCCAAGCGGAUCCUUGAGCGGUAUUGACGACUCAUCGUCCUCGACGACCCAUCGGAAAUCGAACGUUGUGCACGAGACGUGGUUCAUGGCACUUGUGAUUACAAUGCUUUUGGCAAUUUUGAUUUCCGCAGCAGCCGCCAUGCUUUUUUUCAAGCGUCGUCAUCAACUCACAAAGGAGCUGGGCCACUUAAGCGCUCUUCCAGUUGUUAAUGCAAGCGAGAUAACAGCCUUGAAUAUAAACGGAAAGGAAAGCCUCUGGAUAGACAGGGGUUGGCGAACUACCGACACGGACAAGGACUCGGGAUUAAGUGAAACGAAAUUAUUGUCGAACCCCAAUAGCCAGCAGUCAAAUUAUACAGAUGCCGGAACAGACUAUGCUGAAGUGGACACUCGAAAUUUGAGCACGUUUUAUAAUUGUCGAAAGUCACCAGACAACCCGACGCCAUAUGCAACAACAAUGAUAAUUGGAACCUCCUCCACGGAUAGCUGCAUGAAGAACUCCUCAUCGAGCAACGAGCAAAGUUCAUCAGGGACACAUAGUCCUCAUUCAGACCCAUCUCAAGGAUACGGCGGUAUCCAAGGCAGCGGCGGUAAACACAUGCAAGGACAUAACUACCAUCAAUAUCCGCCGGUUCCAAUCAAUUGGUCAGAGUUCCUUCCUCCACCGCCAGAGCAUCCACCGCCUGCACCACAAGGACAACCAUCGAUGGGUUGCGGUGGAAGAGGAGGAGGUGACGGCAACAACAGUGCAGCAGUUGGUGGAGGAUGCUAUGCUCCAGGAAGUCCUCAGUCGAGUCGGAAGAGCUCGAAAUCUGGAUCAGGAAUGUCAAUGCAUCAGAAUACAAUGAAUUCAUCCCAACAUAGUGGAUCAUCGGGUGGCUUUUCAUCGUGGGGUGGUGGCCCUCAGCCACAAUACUGUAACCGACAGGAAGGCUACUACAACAAUCCGCUUCCAUAUCCACCAAAUUCUUCCCACCCAAGUGGUCAGAAUCGUUAUCAAAUAACACCGACAAGUCAAUUGCCCCCACCUAUACCCUACUACCCUCAACCACAGCAAUCAGCCAAUCCUAUUCCACCAAGAAGUCUUCAUAUCCACUAUCCGCCACCGCGGCAUGCGUUAUCAGACUACCAACCAGUCGGCCAUCAAUCACAACGAUGUAACAAUGGAAGAAGUUGCAACAGUUGUGAUGCCCUCACAUCGCCACAGCUUCCGAAUCCCGAGUGGUAUCAACCACUACAAAAUAGUUCUAAUCAAAAUCAAAUCUACACAUGUUCCUCUGACUGUUCGGAUAGUUCGUUACGGAAUAGCCAUCAAGGACAUCAUCACGCGCACAACAGCUAUCACAAUCAUCACCAGCAUCAUCCGCACCAGCAUCAUCAUCAGCAGCAUCCGCAACAUCAGCAACAGCAGCAGCAAUCGCAUCCUGGUGCAUCGCAUAGCUUAGUACAUUCCGCCGAUAAUAGUCAUGAUAAUCUUAAGUCAGGUAGCUACAUUCUAAAUCGUUGCAACGGUAACAAUGGCUUCCAAGAAUCUGAUGAGACUGAACGCGAACAUAUGCUUAAAUCGACAUGCUCGUGUGACAUAAGUGGUGAUACGGAUCAGAGAAAUUGCAGCGAAUGUUGCAGUUCGCGCGACGGCGAUACUUGCUCCUGCAGUGAAAGUUCUUGUCUCUAUGCCGAGGCUGGAGAGCCAACGCAGAGUAUACCCAGCAGUGCAAUGACCAAAUCAUCACCGAAUUAGGACUCGAUAGGAACCCAUAUUUAACUACUUACUACCUAACUAACUAUGUAUGAGAAACUUCGUAACGUACUAUAGAAAACCUACAAGACUUAUUAAACACUACCCCAACAGCGACAAUUCGAUAUGAAUACAUACAUUUUCUUAUAAAGCAAAAAAACAAAUAACUUUGUAAUAAAAUAUUUUUAUCUGAAAAAUCGAUUUUGAUAAAAAUCAUUUUUAUACCAUGAGAAAUAAGCCAUAAUAAUACUAACAAAAUAUUUGUACGAAGAAUUAAACUAUUUACAUACAUCCAUUGCGCUGAAACUAAGUAGAUAUUUAGAAAAUGAAUUAGGACAGAAAUUGGGACGUUCGUAAACAGGAGUGUGUAUAUAAUAACCCUAAGAUAAUAUACAACACAAAAUUAAGCAAUCGGAAACAGGAAAACGCAACAGAAAACAUGGUUUAUUAAAAAGAAUAAAUAACGGUAUCAAUGUACUUGUCAAAACUGAUUAGAGUCAUAAAAAAUAGUUUCUAGGGAUAUUUUGGACUGUACAUAUACAAAAGGAAAAGAUACCAAGACUUGAUUUUGUAAAGAAACCAACCGAAAAUUUUCUCCUCAUGAAUUGUCCUAGACGACCGAUAAACACACAAAGCGUGAGAUACAUAGAAUCAUAAAAUAGGCAUAUAUCUAACGUAUUUGCGAAUAUCAUGUAAAAAAUUAUUACACAUAAGGAGUUAGAGUAGAGUAGCUAUUUAAGAGUGGAUGUGUGGCAUCAAAUCUACUGUAAUUUGAAGAAAGUCCUCGGCAAAAUUGUGAGAAAUCUGGAAUUCGUUAAAACAUUUCAAAUCUGGAAAGGUCAAACAUAUUCUGACAUCGCGCGCAGAAACGCUUUUGCACAUUCGAACCCAAGGGUAUUGACCGAAUUUUAAAAUAAAAUACAAUUUUACUAAGGAAAACGAUGCCAUAACAAAACACUUUGUACCUGUGAUACGUUUUAAUGUGAUAGGCGCCAUUUGUUUCCUUCUUUUCUAAUUUUGUUAAAUAUGACUAGAAGAGAUGAAAAGGAAGUUUUUUAUAUUUAAAUUGUUUUCCCCUGUUUUAAAGAACAUUUAUAAAACCUAAAAUGAUGAUUAUAUCAAACAAUAUUGAAAUCUGCUUUGAAUUCAUACAAGUAACUUAUAAACAGCGAAAAAUGUAGAAUUGAAAUAAUUUGAUAUGUUACGAAUAUGUAUAGAAAUAAUAACCCCGAAAUAAUCAUAGGAAACAGCACAUACUUAAAUGAAAUACGAAUAGUUGAAUGAAGAAGGCUUAAAUAUUUUAGCUGAAAUUGUCAAAAAUUUGGAACAAGCUGUCGUUACACUGUACAUAGGUAUUAAUGAAUUAUGAAGGGAAACAUUGAAUAAAAUUUCGCAACACAUGUAGCUAACCGUUGUAAUGGUAAUAAAUACCUAAAUAAAAUACUUUUUAAUGUAAAUAUUUGGAUCUGUACACACCGACACAAAAAGAAUUAUCAUACAGGCAAUAUAUUUCAAAACGGACAUUAGAAUCUAGAAUACAAUGUACUCGAUCGACCUACUUGAAAUAAAAAAAACACAAAUAAUAAUGGAAACAAACAUAAGAGCUAUCACUAAAAACGAAAAAAAACACUUACUAUCUAAUUUAUAAAAAUCUAUCCUAAAUACGACUAAAUAAAAAUCGAUAAUUAACGAAAACAAUGUAAGUUUAGAAUCUAUAUAAUGUUUAGGAUCGAAAGAUAUAAUGCCAUUGUAGAAAUUUUGAAAGAAUGGAAAUUUCGAUGAAAGGAAAAAACGAAAAUUAAAAAAUAUAACUAAAUAAAAUGACAAAAGUUUUUAAAUAUA
rnacentral:misc_RNA from 1 species